AUCAGGUUUUGACCAUGUAACAAGAGCACUACUUAUCAGUAUGACUGUAGUAAAAGAUGUCUUUGUUUCAGUCAAAGUAGCGGUAUAUACUGUACAUACAGUAUGUAAAAAAAUCAUGACAAACAAAAUGCCAGUUUUGGUGAUCAUUAUCAAUUGUAUUCCUUAAAAAGGAGGGAGGAAGUGUGCGGAUGACUGGGAGUACUUCGAUGGAUCAUGUUACCACUUCUCCACUGAUUGGAAGACCUGGACUGAGAGUAGAGAUGCCUGUGUGACUAUGGGAGGACACCUGGUCAUCAUAAACAGUCAACAAGAAAUGGAUUUCCUGAAGGCCAAGGCUAAUCACUGGAUUGGUUUAACUGAUGCUAAGGAAGAGGGCAAAUGGCGCUGGGUGGACAACACACCACUCACAAACCUAAAGUUUUGGAGACAAGGCCAGCCAGAUAACUACAAGGGAUAUUAUCGAGAUGGAGAAGACUGUGCCAUGAUUACAGGAGAAGAGUGGAAUGACAUUUCCUGUGGUGUCUCAUUUAAAAUAAUCUGUGAGACUAAAAGCUGUAGGGCCGGGGUUUAACUGAUAUUACCACAACAUCAAAUGAUUUACCGACUCAAAUUAAUUUAGGCUCUGAAACAUUGUUUAGAAGAAAUGUUGUAGGGGUGUCUGAGGAGCGGUAUGGAUUUUGCAUUAAUUGCGUUUGAUCUGAUUUCUGGACAUAAAACUAGGGAAACACUUUAGUUUCAGGGAACAUAUGUUAACCAUUCACACAUAACUAAUAUGCAUCUGUAUAAGUGCCGAAUGAAGUCUGCAUUAAGCAUAAUGUAUUAGGCCUGUGUUAGCCACUUUCUUAUUCUCACUGAAUAUGUAAUAUAUUCUUGGUACAUCCUUAUUAACCAACUAGUUAGUCUCAACAUAAUCUUACUGAUAUAUGAUAUAUUUUAAUGAUAUGUUAUCUGUAGGGACAGAUUAAUUGUAGAAUAAGUAUCUCUACUGACAAACAGUGUUUCAUUGCUCAAUGCAAAGGCCCAGCAGGUCCAAGUAAUGGUAAUGGUACUCACCCAGGCUGCUAGUGGUGACUGGGAGGCAGUAAUGGUAAUGGUACUCACCCAGGCUGCUAGUGGUGACUGGGAGGCAGUAAUGGUAAUGGUCCUCACACAGGCUGCUAGUGGUGACUGGGAGGCAGUAAUGGUAAUGGUCCUCACACAGGCUGCUAGUGGUGACUGGGAGGCAGUAAUGGUAAUGGUCCUCACCCAGGCUGCUAGUGGUGACUGGGAGGCAGUA